AGCAGUGGGGAAUUUUGGACAAUGGGCGAAAGCCUGAUCCAGCAAUGCCGCGUGCAGGAUGAAGGCCCUCGGGUUGUAAACUGCUUUUGUACGGAACGAAAAGCCUGGGGCUAAUAUCCCCGGGUCAUGACGGUACCGUAAGAAUAAGCACCGGCUAACUACGUGCCAGCAGCCGCGGUAAUACGUAGGGUGCAAGCGUUAAUCGGAAUUACUGGGCGUAAAGCGUGCGCAGGCGGUUUUGUAAGACAGUGGUGAAAUCCCCGGGCUCAACCUGGGAACUGCCAUUGUGACUGCAAGGCUAGAGUGCGGCAGAGGGGGAUGGAAUUCCGCGUGUAGCAGUGAAAUGCGUAGAUAUGCGGAGGAACACCGAUGGCGAAGGCAAUCCCCUGGGCCUGCACUGACGCUCAUGCACGAAAGCGUGGGGAGCAAACAGGAUUAGAUACCCUGGUAGUCCACGCCCUAAACGAUGUCAACUGGUUGUUGGGUCUUAACUGACUCAGUAACGAAGCUAACGCGUGAAGUGACCGCCUGG
rnacentral:rRNA from 1 species